CGCGCACAGAGGGAGGCCAANCCGCGAGGCCGAGCAAAUCCCGGAAAAAGACGUCCCAGUUCGGACUGCAGUCUGCAACCCGACUGCACGAAGCCGGAAUCGCUAGUAAUCGCGGAUCAGAACCUGCCGCGGUGAAUACGUUCCCGGGUCUUGUACACACCGCCCGUCACACCACGGGAGCCGGAAAUGCCCGAAGUCGGUGGCCCAACCGCAAGGGGGGAGCCGCCGAAGGCAGGUCCGGUGACUGGGGUGAAGUCGUAACAAGGUAAC
rnacentral:rRNA from 1 species